GCCCCUGUAGCGCAACGGAUAGCGCACCGGUUUCCGGGACCGGAGGUUGUGGGUUCGAAUCCCGCCGGGGGCGCCG
rnacentral:tRNA from 1 species